CCUGAGAAACCCAAAAGAUCGAAUGGGGAGAUUCAUCGUCAGCUCAUUUUGUAUAUAUAUAAGUUACGAUGCGGGUUACUCUUGUAGUAUUGCCUGCACGUUCUUGUAUAUUUAGUUGCAAGAUGUUGUCGGCGUGCACUUCUCCCCUAGUAGGACGUCGCGACCCGUUGGGUGUCGGUCUACGGCCCAAGUGGGAGACUUUAAUGUUUAAAAAUAUUAAAGACCCUUGGUGUUUCCUGACCGGCUACCCGGCGGUACUCGUAUGGUAUUAAGCCGCAUUUAUAUAUGCGUCAAUACCCGUCGCAAGCGAGGCUAGUUUCUGAUAGUACGGACCUAGUGCCGUCGUUGGAGCUGGCCAGCUGUUGGCUGUUACGGUUUUCUAAGACUGGCUUAAACUAAUUACCGGUCGGCGAUGCUACUGCUUUGGGUACUUUCAGGACCCGUCUUGAAACACGGACCAAGGAGUCUAACAUGUACGCGAGUCAUUGGGAUUUUUUAAAAAAAUUAAACCUAAAGGCGUAAUGAAAGUAAAGGUCGUCCUUGCGUCGACCGAGGGAGGAUGGGCUGUGUUAAGAUAUAGCUCCGCACUCCCGGGGCGUCUCAUUCUCAUUAUGAGAAGAGGCGCACCUAG
rnacentral:rRNA from 1 species